rfam:Schistosoma margrebowiei strain Zambia genome assembly, scaffold: SMRZ_contig0004913
CUCCGGUUGACAAGUCCCAAAUAGGACGAAACGUGCGUCCUGGAU